UACAGAGGUCCCAAGCGUUACUGAGAAUCACUGGGUUUAAAGGGUGCGUAGGUGGCACGUUAAGUCAGUUGUGAAAUCCCCGGGCUCAACCCGGGAACUGCUUCUGAUACUGGCGUGCUUGAGGCCAGUAGGGGUCACUAGAACUGACGGUGGAGCGGUGAAAUGCGUAGAUAUCGUCAGGAAUGCCGGUGGUGAAGACGGGUGAGUAGGCUGGUUCUGACACUGAGGCACGAAAGCGUGGGGAGCGAACGGG
rnacentral:rRNA from 1 species